rnacentral:tRNA from 1 species
GGGGCAUUAGCUCAGUUGGCUAGAGCAUCACACUGGCAGUGUGAGGGUCAGCGGUUCAAGUCCGCUAUGCUCCACCA